ensembl:snRNA U1 U1 spliceosomal RNA
AAAAUUUUCUUACUGUUUUACUCAAGAAAGUGGUUUUCCCAGGGCAAAGCUUAUCCAUUGCACUCCAUCGAUGUGCUGACCCCUGCAAUUUCCCCCAAAUGUGGGAAACUUGACGGCAUAAUUUGUGGUAGUGGGGGACUGUGUUUGUGCUUUCCCCUU